UACGUAGGGUGCAAGCGUUGUCCGGAAUUAUUGGGCGUAAAGAGCUCGUAGGCGGUUUGUCGCGUCGGCUGUGAAAGCCCGGAGCUCAACUCCGGGUCUGCAGUCGAUACGGGCAGACUUGAGUGUUGCAGGGGAGACUGGAAUUCCUGGUGUAGCGGUGAAAUGCGCAGAUAUCAGGAGGAACACCGGUGGCGAAGGCGGGGUCUCUGGGGCAACAACUGACGCUGAGGAGCGAAAGCGUGGGGGAGCGAACAG
rnacentral:rRNA from 1 species